rnacentral:rRNA from 1 species
UACGUAGGGGGCAAGCGUUAUCCGGAUUUACUGGGUGUAAAGGGAGCGUAGACGGCGAUGCAAGUCUGAAGUGAAAGGCGGGGGCCCAACCCCCGGACUGCUUUGGAAACUGUAUGGCUGGAGUGCAGGAGAGGUGAGUGGAAUUCCUAGUGUAGCGGUGAAAUGCGUAGAUAUUAGGAGGAACACCAGUGGCGAAGGCGGCUUACUGGACUGUAACUGACGUUGAGGCUCGAAAGCGUGGGGAGCAAACAGG